GUAGUGAAGUCCGAUCUCCUGCUCCUGCAUUUGGAUAUGAUACUGACCACCUGUGUUACCUGUGCAGGUGGAAAUUAUGUCAUCAUCCAUGUUACUAUCAUCACACAGGGGUGUGUUGAUCUGUUGGCGAGUGAAUGGCCGCGCUGUCAUGGAUCAGCCUGUGUCAGAUACUCUGGUCCAAAAGCCAAGCCAAUGAAAGGCCUGUCAGCUGAUGAUGAAAGAGAGUCUCUUCUGGAAUGGAGUGAUUCAGACUUUGGUAUCUUCUGAAUCUCUUCUGAAACUUUUAUUCUCAGGAGAAACAUUAGAGAAGCAGGUGACUUGCACUCCAUUUAAUCUCAUUGUAGAAAUAUUAAUGAGAUUUCGUUUGUGAUUUAUUUCCUUUCUUACAGGUUGUUUUGACUUGAAAGCAAAGCUCUUGAAACUUUUUUUUUUUUUGCUUUUUCACAAAUAAUUUGGCCUUUCUGAUUUGUAAUUUUUUGCAGAUAACUUUACAUCUCUGAAUGUAAUUUUAUUGCAAAUAACUCGAUCAUUCA
ensembl:lncRNA